AUAGCUCACUAGUCAAGAGAUCCUGCGCCGAAGAUGUCCGGGGCUCAAACUUACCACCGAAGCUAUGGGUGUACACUAUGUGUACGCGGUAGAGGAGCUUUCUGUAUGGGUUGAAGUCGUACCGUAAGGAGCGGUGGACUGUACAGAAGUGAGAAUGCUGGCAUAAGUAGCGAGAAAUAAGUGAGAAUCUUAUUGGCCGAAAACCUAAGGUUUCCUGGGGAAGGUUCGUCCGCCCAGGGUUAGUCGGGACCUAAGCCGAGGCCGAAAGGCGUAGGUGAUGGACAAUCGGUUGAUAUUCCGAUACCGCCUAUUUACGUUUGAGAAAUGGGGUGACGCAGUAGGAUAAGAUGUGCGCACUAUUGGAUGUGCGUCUAAGCAUUUAGGCAUGCUUGAUAGGUAAAUCCGUCGAGCUAAGCUGAGGUGUGAUGGGGAGCCAUUUAUGGCGAAGUAUCUGAUUCCACACUGCCAAGAAAAGCCUCUAUCGAGUGAAUAGGUGCCCGUACCGCAAACCGACACAGGUAGGUGAGGAGAGAAUCCUAAGGCCAUCGGAAGAAUUGCUGUUAAGGAACUCGGCAAAUUGACCCCGUAACUUCGGGAGAAGGGGUGCCUACGAAAGUAGGCCGCAGAGAAUAGGCCCAAGCAACUGUUUAGCAAAAACACAGGUCUCUGCUAAAGCGAAAGCUGAUGUA
rnacentral:rRNA from 1 species